CUGUGGUAAAGUUAAAUGCUUAAAAAAUAUUUUUAUACUGGGUUUUAAUACAUGCAUAACCAUUUUAAUGUUGCUCUGCAUUGUAUUGAUUCACAGUAAUACUAUUUGUCUUAGAAAUAUUUUUCUAAGAAAAAUUAUUUGAGCUUCCAAUCAAUUCUUAUUUUUCAAGGAGAAGGAAGAUCAACAAAUAUGUCCAACAAUCUGGCUGAUCUUCCAUUGGUAAUUGUUUUCUCUCUUAAUAUUACCAUUGUCUGCUCUGAUCAGAGUUAUGUUAUGCACUGGUGAAUGUGCUAAUUUUGAGUGAAAAAUUAAACAAUAUUUAAUAGUAUUAAAUAUAUUAAGUCAUAUUAUAUGUACUAUAGUUUUAGUUAUAAAUAAUAAAUUGAUGAUAGAAACUCAUCUUUGUUGAGAUUAUAUUAUGAUGACUCCAUAAGGUGUUAGUCCAGUUAACAUCCUUAUUUCCAGGAAUGCAUCCCCAGUAUUAAAUGGAAUAUGCAUGCUUUGUCCAUUUAUAAUCAGAUAACAUUAUUUGUCCACUGGAUCUUGAUGCUGUUUUUAUGUAACAAUUUUCAUUAUUCCGUAUUAAAUCUGUUUUUAUAUAUAUAUUCACUUUUUUAUAUAUCAUUUUUUCUCUUCAAUAAAAUGAUUAUAGAUUUAUUUCUAAUAGACUAUUACUUCAGUAAUACAUAUUUAGCAU
rnacentral:lncRNA from 1 species